ACGAAAAAACGAUGACACAGUUCUCCGGCGAAUGUUCUCUGUCCUUUUCCUCGCAAUAAAAUCUCUCAGAUUCACAAAAACAAAGGAGGACUAGGACGAGAACGGAGAAGAGAACUCGCUAAUUCUACCGCCGGAAUUACAAUUCUCUUAAGCGUUUGGUUUGUAUAAUUAGCUAUUUGGCGAUCCAUCGUUCAUCGACGACGGCAUAAAUCUCAAAUCUACUACUAUUUUGUUGAGUUUCCGUAUAUAUUUUCAUAAUUUGUAGAGCAUUUCCAGUUAAGGGAUCGGAAAAUAUGGAUAGUUUUGUCAGUAAAAUACGAAGUUUGGAUGCAUAUCCGAAGAUCAACGAGGAUUUCUACAGCAGAACACUUUCUGGAGGUGUUAUUACCUUAGCUUCCUCCAUCAUCAUGACGUUGCUUUUCAUCUCCGAGCUCCGAUUAUAUCUUCAUGCUGCCACCGAGACAAAGCUUGUUGUGGAUACUUCAAGAGGAGAAACACUGCGCAUCAAUUUUGAUAUCACCUUUCCAGCAAUUCCAUGUUCAAUUCUCAGUGUUGAUGCCAUGGAUAUCAGUGGAGAGCAACAUCUUGACAUUAGACAUGACAUCAUCAAGAAAAGAAUUGAUGUUCUCGGAAAUGUUAUUGAGACAAGGAAGGAGGGCAUUGGUUCUCCUACGAUUGAUAGGCCUCUGCAAAGGCAUGGAGGAAGACUUGAGCACAACGAAACAUAUUGUGGUUCCUGCUAUGGUGCUGAAGGGUCAGAUGAUCAUUGUUGUAACACCUGCGAAGAUGUUCGUGAAGCCUAUAGAAAGAAAGGUUGGGCAUUGACAAACCCAGAUGAAAUUGACCAGUGUAAGAGAGAGGGUUUCCUAGAAAAGAUCAAAGAGGAAGAAGGUGAAGGAUGCAAUAUGUAUGGGUUCUUGGAGGUCAAUAAAGUGGCUGGAAAU
rnacentral:misc_RNA from 1 species